AAUGCAAACUUGAUGUGGGAGUGAUUUCUUAUUAAUAAAGAAACUGCCUAAGCCCCUUGAUAGGCCAACCCUUAGGUGGGUGGAGAAAACAGAACAGGAUUCUGGGAGAAAGAAGCUUAGUAGAGGAGUCGCCAUGAUUCCCCCGCUCCAGACAGACGCAGGUUAAGAUCCUCCCUGUACUGAAGCUCAGUCCCUGUGAUGGCUGCCCCGCCCCAUCUCUUCAGCAUGGCAUUUUAUUCAGGCAAGACGGAGAGAGGAUGAUUGUCUUUGCCCAUGUUCUAUGACACAGCGUGACGGGGGUUACAGGUGGCAGUAUAUAACUGCUCUAACCAUGGCUGGAAGACACAGCGGGAAUACAGCUUGGGCCUUCUCAGCUUUCUGCUGGUCUCUGAGGACAGCUCCCUGCAGGAAGUGGAUCUCUGAGCCACAAGAUCACUCUUGUGCUGACUGAAAUGGGGUCAGAAGAAGCAAACGGAAAAACCUCUAAUAAAAUACAGGAAAUUUCAAGAAUAUACUUUGUCUUAAAAUGGUUUCUCUGAAAUCACAGCAUUUGGAGUUAGGAAACUUGGAAUCUGGUCGCUCUACGCACAGCCACUGUGCCCCAGCCUGCAGGGGUUCUGUGUGCCCACUGUCCAUGCCCUAUGGUGCAUCUGCCAUACGCCAACCUCAAGGAGUCUGUAACAAAAGAGAUGUAGAAGGUCACAUGUAAUGUCCUUUUUCUCCUGGGCUUCCCUUUUCCUUUGGCCUCUAUCUAUCUACACAGCCUGCCUGCUCCUUUAUAGUCUCAUGCCUGGAACUUCAUCUUUUCUUUUUAGCCUCCUGGUAUGGCAGAACCAGGUGCCUCCCUGAGCCUGGAGUCUGCCAAAUGAAGUAGCCUGGACAGCCAGCAACCUCUGCGGACCCUCCUGUCUCCCCCCUGCACUGGAUCACGGUUGCAUGCCACACUGCACAACCUUUUGCAGGGGUGCUUGUGCAUGGCAAGGAUUUAGCAGCUGACCCUUCUCCCCAGAUACUGUCUUCUCUUCGUGAGACCCUUCCUGCAAGCGUAUCUAACUCUUCCCACCCCCCACUCUGAUGGUGCACCCAAGCACAUCUCUGCCCGUCUGCCCUAACUCCUUUCCCUUCCAAGCCUCAAAACCUGCUGACGAUGACAUGUUUGUGUAUGCAUAUCUGCAAACGUAAAUGAGGAUCCUCCAGACACAGGAUUCUUUUUCCCUUUGGCACAUACCCUGUGAGAAUCAGAGAUGAUGCCAGGCACAGAAAUGCUAAGUAAAUAUUUGCUACACGAAUGAAUAAAUAAUCAAUUUUGCCUGCA